GAUGAAGAACGUAGCGAAACGCGAAAGGUAAUGCGAAUUGCAGAUCAGUGAGUCAUCGAAUAUUUGAACGCACAUUGCGCCUCUCGGUAUUCCGGGAGGCACGCCUGUUCGAGCGCCAUUACACCGUCCAAGCUGCGGCUUGAUGUUGGGCGAGGCUGCGGUCCGAGAGGACGGGCGGCGCGCCUGGAAGGUAUGGGCGGCGGUGGCCAGACCGCGAGCGUAGCAAGACGAGAGUCACCCGCGCGGACGGAUCUGGCGGACGCGUGUCGAGAAGUCGAGGAUGCGAGGGCGACCGCGCAAAGACGACGAAACACACACAAGUUUGGCCUCGGAUCAGGCGGGGAUACCCGCUGAACUUAAGCAUAUCAAUAAGCGGAGGA
rnacentral:misc_RNA from 1 species